GGGGGCGACAGGCCUCGACGGUGGUUGCGAGGUCUGAACUGCAUGCCGUGGAAUUGUCACCACGUUAAAAAGACAAGAAAAAUUCAAACGCCAAUACAGAACUGGCACUCGCGGCUUAAUUAAGCCGCGCGCUUCUCUGUGAAUGCCUGCGGCACAGAACAAGCGUCAUCAAGCAGGCUGGCCUGAAGUCAUUUCCUCUGGUCUUCAGGUAAGAUCUCAGGGGAUAGGGUUCAAGAGGGCUUUUCUGCCGGCACACCUGAUCCCGAAUCUUAAAUAGGCAGAACAAGCAUGUAGACGUUCAGAAGUAGUACUGCCGGACCCGGGUUCGAAUCCCGGCGCCUCCACCA
rnacentral:tmRNA from 4 species